UACGUAGGGGGCAAGCGUUAUCCGGAUUUACUGGGCGUAAAGGGAGCGUAGACGGUGAUGUAAGUCAGAUGUGAAAGCCCGGGGCUCAACCCCGGGACUGCAUUUGAAACUAUGUUGCUAGAGUGCAGGAGAGGUAAGUGGAAUUCCUAGUGUAGCGGUGAAAUGCGUAGAUAUUAGGAGGAACACCAGUGGCGAAGGCGGCUUACUGGACUGUAACUGACGUUGAGGCUCGAAAGCGUGGGGAGCAAACAGG
rnacentral:rRNA from 1 species